UGUAACAAAACACCUGCAGCUGGCCUCUGCCAAGGCUUGUCUACAUGUACUGGAGCAUCAACGCUGCGGCGACUGAUGCAUCGGCGGUCGAUUUAAAUUUACCACCAAUGGCUCUCCCGUCAACUCCUGUACUCCACCUGAUUGAGAAGAGUAAGGUGGCAAUCCAAGUUACGUCAAAUGCUCACUGAACUUCAGGUGGAAUUACACAUGACAUGGUGAAGAGCCACCUGAACCCCACCAAAGAUCCUUCAAGAUGGGAGAAGCUGAUCGGGUUACAAAAAGGGCAGAGGGAACCCAACUGUGGUGGAACAGAAGAUGAGGAGACUAAACUGGUUUUAGACUGCUGUGGCAUUCUUAGUCUGAGCUAUGAAAACUUUGGGAAAAAUAUGAAGACCGUGCAAUUGUUGUGACUGCUUUUAUCAUCAGUCUCAAGACGAGCCUCUCCAUGUGCUCAUUUUCAGGCGCUUUCUACCUCUCUCACCUUUUGGAUACAUGGCAGGAAGUUUGGAUACAUGGCAGACGUCAGAUUUCGUAAUCAGAUUUUGACACUAAAUGGAAUUUAGCCACUUUUACAUUGAGAAUAUGUUUGACAUCAUUCAGUCUUUCAAUAGAAACAGUUCAUAUUCAUUGCAAACUCAAAGCAUCUUUCAAGUUAAAAAAAUGGCAAAGAAUGGUUAUCAAAGAAAAUGAAUAAAAUCCAUAUUGAGAUAAUUUUUUAGAAAAUGAUUGAAGUUUUAACCCAAGAAAGGACUCUUAGAGUUUCUUAUAGCUUAGAAUAAGAACAUGUCAAUCACGAUUAAGCUUCUGGAAUCGGAAUCCCUUUGAAAUGCAGCUGUUUCUUCUUUAAUUGUGGCAGCGGACUCAAAAGAAAAGAAAGGUCCAGCCUUAAAGAUGAGUAAGGAAUACAAAAUAGCUCAGGAUUAGUUGUGGAGUUCAAAGGUCACUAAUUACACUAAGGAGUUCCCAGACACAGGGAAAACAUUAAACAGGUCACCUACCAAAUGGGAAACAGACUUUGUCUUCAAAAAAAUUAUCCUGAAGAGAUAGGUUUCUAGACAAAAUCAAAAUGCGUCACACAGUGAGACCAGCUGAUCUCAAUGGGAUGAGAACUGGAAUUGGUUUUAGUUCUCUACUGUUAUGGAUGGCUACAGAUACCAUGAAGAUUAACAAAAAUUGUCGAGAUUUCACCCAGCUUUCUAGAAUGCUCUAUUAAGGCAGAGGGAAAGGCCUUAGCAUGAAAAAGAUGAUUUUUACUUACUGCCCUUGAUCUGCCUCAGUGAAAUACAAACCACCUCUAAGAUCAAUUGCUGACCUCGGCACUUGGCUCAUUUCAUUUUACUGAAAUGCCUAGAAAAUUGUUCAGCUGGUAGAGAAACAUUAGCCUAGCCUGUCAGAUGACUCUGCUGAUAGCGUUAUCACACAAGAGAUGCUCGUUCAGGAAUGACCUCAGGGGGAGUCUUUCUUCAGCCAAUGGGGGCUAGAAUCAGCUUGAGGGUAAUGGUUUCCCUCAAGGUCUCUUCCCAAGAGAAAAGUCCAAGGCACAUUGUUUGUUGGCACUCCCUAGCAGUUGAUCAAGUUGAGGAAUAAACUUCAACUGAGGAUGAAGACAGCUGUUCUGCUGCCCAGGUGUGUGCAGCAAGAAUUAGGAAAUCAUGAAAGGAAACGUAGUGACUAAGAAUGACAGUGGGUGGAAGCAACAGAGAGAUUUUAAUGACCAAGACCCAGAUUCAGCAAGGUACUUACACACAUACCUAACUUUAAGCACUGACUUCAGCUGGACAUGAGGAAUCCCAUUGAUUUCAGCUGAAAUCCAUGAGACUACUCACAUGUUUAAAGUCAGGUACAUGCUUAAGUACCUUGCUGAAUCAGGGCCCAAUGGUCCCUUGUUGUCAAAAACUACGAAGUGUCAUUGCAAAGAUCUACCAUGACAAGCUAUGCCUCAUUCCAAGUGGAAGGCCAUCCCUUCACUGGAAAACCUUAGAGCAUUCAGUUUAAGGGGGCGAGGGCAGGAGGAAAUCUCUCUCGCGCCUUAGUUUAUUGAUUAAUAAAGUCAUUUACAUGAGAACAGGAGCUAAUUCUUCAGUUCCCACUUGCCCACCUGAAGUCAUAGUCCUGUUCCUGAUAUUGCAAUCAGCGGAUCUUAGAGCAGAAACAGAUUUGUGGUUUCAUGGAAAUAAGAGAAGAGAAUUGCAGAAAAUCUGCUAGGUGCAUACCUCGGUGGUUUACAAGGAGCCCAUACUUGCCCUUGAAGUCAACUGAAUUUUUGCCAUUGACUUCUAUGGAGCUAGGUUAGGCCCCAAUUGUUUCAUUCUCCCUCCCCUGCACACUGUGUGAAUAACAGAGCAUUGUGUGGCAUAUUAAGAACUGGUGCCAGGGGAGCUAACCCAUAAAUAGGCUAUGGAGCUGCAAUGCAGCCCCUCUGUGGCAAUCAACUGUAAGAGCAAAUGCUGCAUCUCUUCUGCUGAGGUUUGGAGCUUCUGCUGUCACGGGUUACCCCCGGGGUGCCACUUGGAACUGGGGUACCGCUGAGCCCUCCUGACCCACCAGCCUGGGCUCCCUUUACACUACUGCUGAGGCAAGCCUGCCAAGUCCUUUUCCAAGCUUCAGACUACACUUUGCCAGCGCACACACAGGUAGGGACACACCCAGCUACAGCUACACACACAGAUGCUGAGAUCAGCUCUGCAUAGGAAGGCUCAGCUAAGGAACUGCCCAGUUACUCAAGUGCACACCCCCCUCUGGAGUGUAAACCCAACAUUAGACCGUCUUGCGCUGCACAGAGAAUUGUACAGUGUGAGCUCAUGAGAGUCGCCCUUUCCCUCAAUGUGGAGAGGAAUAUACACAGCUUUCUGCCCCACAGUUAUGAUUUCCACACACUGGUUUUAGACAAAACAAAAACAAGUUUAUUAACUACAAAAGAUAGAUUUUAAGUGAUUAUAAGGGAUAGCAAACAAAUCAAAGCAGAUUACCUAGCAAAUAAAACAAAA